GGGAGGUUAGUUCAGCUGGUAGAAUGCUUGCUCGACAAGCAAGAGGUCGUUGGUUCGAGUCCAAUACUUCCCACCA
rnacentral:tRNA from 1 species